rnacentral:tRNA from 1 species
UGGCUUGUAGCUCAGCGGUAGAGCAGUCGGCUGUUAACCGACUUGUCGCGGGUUCGAUUCCCACCUUGCCAG